rnacentral:snRNA from 1 species
GUGCUCGCUUCAGCAGCACAUAUACAAUAUAAACACUGGACUGAUACAGAGAAGAUUAACAUGGUUCCAGCACAUGGGUGACAUGCAAACUCGUGACAUGUUCCAUAUCUUU